GCCGAGGUGGCGCGCUUUACCGUUAGUGCAGGCUCCGGGCCUGCGGGCGCGCGUUCACGGCGUCCCGGGUGGGCCGAGCUCGGCUUAAUUCGUCCUUAGCUGUAAUUUUACGCUUCAAAGAAGCAUGAAGCUCUGUUGUUGAUUCCUCAACAGCGAAGAU
rnacentral:lncRNA from 1 species